CCUUAUACAAAAAGUAACUUUGGUCACCACCCGCUAAAUGAACCUUCGCGUCUUUUCAACCACAUCGUUUUAUACAAGAAGAAGCAUAUUAGGGUGUGAAUUGCGACGCAACCCUUCGCCUUCCCCUGCUUUACCAAAAAAAUUCAACUUACAACCCGGAUGAAAAAUUGGGAAUGGUUAUACAUAUAUCUUACCAAUGCACGAAUCAAACAGAAAAACACUGGCAAUAAUUAUUUCCUCUCUACUUCCCUCUCUUCGUGUGUUGAUUCAGUCUCCUGUAAUCGAUUUUGAUUCAUCCUGUAAUCGAUUUUGAUUCAAUCUCUUUCUAUUAUACAUAUAGCCAAUGAAAGGAUUUUGAUUCAAUCUCCACCGCUAAAUGAACCUUCGCGUCUUUUCAACCACAUCGUUUUAUACAAGAAGAAGCAUAUUAGGGUGUGAAUUGCGACGCAACCCUUCGCCUUCCCCUGCUUUACCAAAAAAAUUCAACUUACAACCCGGAUGAAAAAUUGGGAAUGGUUAUACAUAUAUCUUACCAAUGCACGAAUCAAACAGAAAAACACUGGCAAUAAUUAUUUCCUCUCUACUUCCCUCUCUUCGUGUGUUGAUUCAGUCUCCUGUAAUCGAUUUUGAUUCAUCCUGUAAUCGAUUUUGAUUCAAUCUCUUUCUAUUAUACAUAUAGCCAAUGAAAGGAUUUUGAUUCAAUCUCCUGUAAUCGAAAUCGAAACUGUAGGGUUUACUUGAAGCACUUGCAAACGAUCUAUAUCGCACAAUCUUCGUUCCUUUUGACAGCAAUAUUCUAGGGGUAUCAGGAUUGUGGGUAUAAAAUGAUGCAUUUACAAGGGAGGAGAUGGGAUGCAAAAGGGAUCGAAUAAGGGUUCGCUUAUGAUGUUGGAACCACUUUUGAAUCUUAUGGUAUUUUCACGGCAGCCAUGGCGUAUUGUAUUAAUUUCCCACGAUUGUUGGGAACAUCUUUUCUGCAAUUUUCACCUUUUCUUCGCAUUAGGUGCAUUGACUGGUGUUUUGAUUGGUCAAGAAAGAGAGAAUGGGUGCGUUAUUUGGAGCCAUUUCGGGUGUGGUUGUUUCGAUUGAAGUUUCGAAUCUGCUCUUUUUUUGUGGCACUCUGAUGAGUCUGGGAUCAGAUGCAUUCUAUACUUGAUAUGGAAUAAGAAGAAUUUAUACGAUGUGAUAGUUAUAACGGGUAAUUUUAAUAAACCCGUAGGUAUACCCAAAACCCGUGAGUAUACCCAAUACCCGACGAAUAUACACCCGAUAGAUAUCUGAUGGGCUUUGGGCUGGGUUUGGGACAAGCUUUUAUUAUCAGAUUUAUAGUUGAGAUUAUCUAAACCCGUCCCGUUGGUGCCCCCACAUUGAACAGUAUAUUGUGAAGAUAAAGUGAAGCCAUCCAAGAGACAAAGUUUAGUCAAGGGGAAGUUCAGAUGAGUGCCAAGGUUAGGAUAAUCAAUAAUAACAUUGGUGUGGUAACUAUUUUUUUUUUUUUUUUUUGUAACAACUAAACUUUGCCCCCCUUUAAUACUAUACUAAAUUACACCUCUCAAGAAUUGAACCUUGAUCUCCCUACAAGAGGUAGCUAUUGAUAUAUGAUUUUUGUCAAUGCUAGAUGAUCUUGAACCAAAUUGUAAAUGACCUUCAGUCAUGAAUAUUAUUUGGUUAAUCAAUGAUUGUAUUAUAUCA